GAGGUUAAUAACAAAGUCCUCGCCGCAGUGAAAAUAGGCAGACCGUCAAGUCGCAGUGAAUACGUUCUUACCGGCUCGUUCCGCGCCAUCCUUGGCGCGGACGCUUG
rnacentral:ncRNA from 1 species